rnacentral:misc_RNA from 1 species
UACGGAGGGUGCAAGCGUUGUCCGGAAUCACUGGGUGUAAAGGGUGUGUAGGUGGGACAGUAAGUCAGGGGUGAAAGCCCGCGGCCUAACCGCGGAACUGCCUUUGAUACUGCUGUUCUUGAGUCCCGGAGAGGUUGUUGGAAUUCGUGGUGUAGCGGUGAAAUGCGUAGAUAUCACGAGGAACACCAGAGGCGUAGGCGAACAACUGGACGGGUACUGACACUGAGGCACGAAAGCGUGGGGAGCAAACAGG